UGGGCAAACGAAGUGAAAUUAAGGUUGAUGAAAACUACCAUUAAACGGUAGAGUUAAGCUCUGCAUGUCGAGAGAGGAAGAAAACGGUAGGGGCGGAGGGAAUUUCCGGUGGAGCGGUGAAAUGCGUAGAGAUCGGAAAGAACACCAACGGCGAAAGCACUCUGCUGGGCCGACACUGACACUGAGAGGCGAAAGCUAGGGGAGCGAAUGGGAUUAGAUACCCCAGUAGUCCUAGCCGUAAACGAUGGAUACUAGGCGCUGUGCGUAUCGACCCGUGCAAUGCUGUAGCUAACGCGUUAAGUAUCCCGCC
rnacentral:ncRNA from 1 species